AUUACUUUGAGUAAGAACAGGUAAUUGCAAGAGUCAUGGACCUACUCAAUCUGCAGAUUCCUCCAUUUGUUAGAAUUGAUCUUCUCCAAAUCAUUUUUACUCAGACCGUGAGUUUAGAUAAAAGAUAUAUGAACUGGAACCUCAGGGUAGCAAGUGUGCAUGGGAAAAACGCUCCAUUGCUGUUCAUCAGCUCUAUUGAGGUUUCGUUCUCUGAAGGGCUAAACAUGAAAGAAGCGUUUCUACAUAAACAACCACUUCGGCUAAAAAGGUAGUGCCAGUGUCACUCAUUUUCUAUGCUUUUAGCACAUAAUAUUGCAGUGGUUCCCAAACU